rnacentral:snoRNA from 1 species
UUCGGAGGGUAAUCCCCUCUCCAAGGGGCCUACUAGUGCCCCCAGAACAUAGCAGCAUGGAAUAAAACCUUGCGUGCCAAAGAAUCAGUCACAGUAGACAUUUUGACUAUCAGCACCA